ACGAACGCUGGCGGCACGCUUAACACAUGCAAGUCGAACGAGAGAAGAGGAGCUUGCUUUUCUGAUCUAGUGGCGGACGGGUGAGUAACACGUGAGCAAUCUGCCUUUCAGAGGGGGAUACCGAUUGGAAACGAUCGUUAAUACCGCAUAAUAUAAUUGAACCGCAUGAUUUGAUUAUCAAAGAUUUAUCGCUGAAAGAUGAGCUCGCGUCUGAUUAGCUAGUUGGUAAGGUAACGGCUUACCAAGGCGACGAUCAGUAGCCGGACUGAGAGGUUGAUCGGCCACAUUGGGACUGAGACACGGCCCAGACUCCUACGGGAGGCAGCAGUGGGGAAUAUUGCACAAUGGAGGAAACUCUGAUGCAGCGAUGCCGCGUGAGGGAAGAAGGUUUUAGGAUUGUAAACCUCUGUCUUCAGGGACGAAAAGAGACGGUACCUGAGGAGGAAGCUCCGGCUAACUACGUGCCAGCAGCCGCGGUAAUACGUAGGGAGCGAGCGUUGUCCGGAAUUACUGGGUGUAAAGGGAGCGUAGGCGGGAUCGCAAGUCAGAUGUGAAAACUAUGGGCUUAACCCAUAAACUGCAUUUGAAACUGUGGUUCUUGAGUGAAGUAGAGGUAAGCGGAAUUCCUAGUGUAGCGGUGAAAUGCGUAGAUAUUAGGAGGAACAUCAGUGGCGAAGGCGGCUUACUGGGCUUUAACUGACGCUGAGGCUCGAAAGCGUGGGGAGCAAACAGGAUUAGAUACCCUGGUAGUCCACGCCGUAAACGAUGAUUACUAGGUGUGGGGGGACUGACCCCUUCCGUGCCGCAGCAAACGCAAUAAGUAAUCCACCUGGGGAGUACGACCGCAAGGUUGAAACUCAAAGGAAUUGACGGGGGCCCGCACAAGCAGUGGAGUAUGUGGAUUAAUUCGAAGCAACGCGAAGAACCUUACCAGGUCUUGACAUCGUAUGCAUAGCUCAGAGAUGAGUGAAAUCUCUUCGGAGACAUAUAGACAGGUGGUGCAUGGUUGUCGUCAGCUCGUGUCGUGAGAUGUUGGGUUAAGUCCCGCAACGAGCGCAACCCUUACUGUUAGUUGCUACGCAAGAGCACUCUAGCAGGACUGCCGUUGACAAAACGGAGGAAGGUGGGGAUGACGUCAAAUCAUCAUGCCCCUUAUGACCUGGGCCUCACACGUACUACAAUGGCUGUAAACAGAGGGAAGCAAAGCCGCGAGGUGGAGCGAACCCCUAAAAGCAGUCUUAGUUCGGAUUGUAGGCUGCAACCCGCCUACAUGAAGUCGGAAUUGCUAGUAAUCGCAGAUCAGCAUGCUGCGGUGAAUACGUUCCCGGGCCUUGUACACACCGCCCGUCACGCCAUGGGAGUCGGUAACACCCGAAGCCUGUAGUCUAACCGCAAGGAGGACGCAGUCGAAGGUGGGAUUGAUGACUGGGGUG
rnacentral:rRNA from 1 species